UGGGGAAUUUUGGACAAUGGGGGAAACCCUGAUCCAGCCAUCCCGCGUGUGCGAUGAAGGCCUUCGGGUUGUAAAGCACUUUUGGCAGGAAAGAAACGUCAUGGGUUAAUACCCCGUGAAACUGACGGUACCUGCAGAAUAAGCACCGGCUAACUACGUGCCAGCAGCCGCGGUAAUACGUAGGGUGCAAGCGUUAAUCGGAAUUACUGGGCGUAAAGCGUGCGCAGGCGGUUCGGAAAGAAAGAUGUGAAAUCCCAGAGCUCAACUUUGGAACUGCAUUUUUAACUACCGGGCUAGAGUGUGUCAGAGGGAGGUGGAAUUCCGCGUGUAGCAGUGAAAUGCGUAGAUAUGCGGAGGAACACCGAUGGCGAAGGCAGCCUCCUGGGAUAAAACUGACGCACAUGCACGAAAGCGUGGGGAGCAAACAGG
rnacentral:rRNA from 1 species